rnacentral:rRNA from 1 species
GACGAACGCUGGCGGCGUGCCUAAUACAUGCAAGUUGAGCGAUGAAGAUUGGUGCUUGCACCAAUUUGAAGAGCAGCGAACGGGUGAGUAAUAUAUAGGUAACGUGCCCUAGAGAGGGGGAUAACAUUUGGAAACGAAUGCUAAUACCCCAUAUGCCUUUAAGUCUUAAGACUGCAAGGGAAAUAUUUAUAGCUCUAGGAUCGGCCUGUACGGUAUCAGUUUGUUGGUGAGGUAAUGACUCACCAAGACUAUGACGCCUAACUGGUUUGAGAGGAUGAUCAGUCACACUGGAACUGAGACACGGUCCAG